rnacentral:rRNA from 1 species
GCAAGUCGAACGAGAACGGGCCUACCUUGCUAGGCUGUCAGCUAAGUGGUGGACGGGUGGGUAAUGUAUAGUUAAUUUGCCCCUUAGAGAGGGAUAACAGUUGGAAACGACUGCUAAUACCUCAUACUCCUUUAUACUUAAUGCAUAGUGGGAAAUGUUUUUUCGCUAAGGGAUAAGACUACAUGGUAUCAGGUAGUUGGUGGGGUAAGAGCCUACCAAGGCAAUGACGCCUAGCUGGUCUGAGAGGAUGAUC